rnacentral:rRNA from 1 species
UUGGUUAAGUUAGAAAGGGCGCACGGUGGAUGCCUUGGCACUAGGAGCCGAAGAAGGACGGGACUAACACCGAUAUGCUUUGGGGAGCUGUACGUAAGCGUUGAUCCAGAGAUUUCCGAAUGGGGGAACCCACUAUCUUUAGUCGGAUAGUAUCCUUACGUGAAUACAUAGCGUGAGGAAGGCAGACCCAGGGAACUGAAACAUCUAAGUACCUGGAGGAAGAGAAAGAAAAAUCGAUUUCCUGAGUAGCGGCGAGCGAAACGGAAAGAGCCCAAACCAAGAAGCUUGCUUCUUGGGGUUGUAGGACACUCUAUACGGAGUUACAAAAGAAAGUUAUAAAUGAAGCGGUCUGGAAAGGCCCGCCAAAGACGGUAACAGCCCGGUAGUUGAAAUGGCUUUCCCUCCAGAGUGGAUCCUGAGUACGGCGGAACACGUGAAAUUCCGUCGGAAUCCGGGAGGACCAUCUCCCAAGGCUAAAUACUCCCUAGUGACCGAUAGUGAACCAGUACCGUGAGGGAAAGGUGAAAAGCACCCCGGAAGGGGAGUGAAACAGUUCCUGAAACCGUGUGCCUACAAGUAGUUAGAGCCCGUUAAUGGGUGAUAGCGUGCCUUUUGUAGAAUGAACCGGCGAGUUACGAUUUGUUGCAAGGUUAAGCGGAAAAAGCGGAGCCGUAGCGAAAGCGAGUCUGAAUAGGGCGCAUAAGUAACAGGUCGUAGACCCGAAACCAGGUGAUCUACCCAUGUCCAGGAUGAAGGUAAGGUAAUACUUACUGGAGGUCCGAACCCACGCACGUUGA